UACGAAGGGGGCUAGCGUUGUUCGGAAUUACUGGGCGUAAAGCGCGCGCAGGCGGUUCUUUAAGUCAGGGGUGAAAGCCCAGACCUCAACUCUGGAAUUGCCUUUGAAACUAGAGAACUUGGGUACGGGAGAGGUGAGUGGAAUUCCGAGUGUAGAGGUGAAAUUCGUAGAUAUUCGGAAGAACACCAGUGGCGAAGGCGGCUCACUGGCCCGUUACCGACGCUCAGGCGCGACAGCGUGGGGAGCAAACCGG
rnacentral:rRNA from 1 species